rnacentral:rRNA from 1 species
CUCUUCGGGGAUGAUUAAACCGGCGCACGGGUGAGUAACACGAGAGUGACCUACCUUUUAGACUGGAACAACUUACCGAAAGGUGAGCUAAUGCCGGAUGAGUUAUAUAAGUGCAUGUUUAUAUAGGAAAAGUUGGGGAGACCUGACGCUGAAAGAUGGACUCGCGUCCCAUUAGCUAGUUGGUAGGGUAAUGGCCUACCAAGGCGACGAUGGGUAGCCGGCCUGAGAGGGUGGCCGGCCACACUGGGACUGAGACACGGCCCAGACUCCUACGGGAGGCAGCAGUGGGGAAUUUUGCGCAAUGCUCGUAAGAGUGACGCAGCGACGCCGCGUGAAUGACGAAGGCCUUCGGGUCGUAAAGUUCUUUCGACAGGGAAGAAAAUGCCUAUAAGUAACUGUGUAUGUAUUGACGGUACCUGUAUAAGCAGCCCCGGCUAACUCCGUGCCAGCAGCCGCGGUAAUACGGAGGGGGCGAGCGUUGUUCGGAGUGACUGGGCGUAAAGAGCACGUAGGCGGUGUUGUAAGUCAUUAGUCAAAGACUAGAGCUCAACUUUAGUAAGGCUAGUGAUACUAUAAUACUAGAGUAUCAGAGAGGAUUGCAGAAUUCCUGGUGUAGCGGUGAAAUGCGUAGAUAUCAGGAGGAAUACCGUUAGCGAAGGCGGCAAUCUGGCUGGAAACUGACGCUGAGGUGCGAAAGCGUGGGUAGCAAACAGGAUUAGAUACCCUGGUAGUCCACGCUGUAAACGAUGGAUGCUAGGUGUUGGGCUUUUAAGUUCAGUGCCGCAGCAAACGCGAUAAGCAUCCCGCCUGGGGAG